rnacentral:rRNA from 1 species
CCUACGGGGGGCAGCAGUGGGGAAUAUUGGGCAAUGGGCGCAAGCCUGACCCAGCAACGCCGCGUGAAGGAAGAAGGCUUUCGGGUUGUAAACUUCUUUUCUCAGGGACGAAUAGAUGACGGUACCUGAGGAAUAAGCCACGGCUAACUACGUGCCAGCAGCGGCGGUAAUACGUAGGUGGCAAGCGUUAUCCGGAUUUACUGGGGGUAAAGGGCGUGUAGGCGGGGAAGCAAUUCGGAUGUGAAAACCACGGGCUCACCCUGUGGCCUGCAUUGGAAACUGUGUUUCUUGAGUACUGGAGAGGCAGACGGAAUUCCUAGUGUAGCGGUGAAAUGCGUAGAUAUUAGGAGGAACACCAGUGGCGAAGGCGGUCUGCUGGACAGCAACUGACGCUGAGGCGCGAAAGCGUGGGGAGCAAACAGGAUUAGAUACCCUAGUAGUC